rnacentral:rRNA from 1 species
UUAAGCGACUAAGCGUACACGGUGGAUGCCCUGGCAGUCAGAGGCGAUGAAGGACGUGCUAAUCUGCGAUAAGCGUCGGUAAGGUGAUAUGAACCGUUAUAACCGGCGAUUUCCGAAUGGGGAAACCCAGUGUGAUUCGUCACACUAUCAUUAACUGAAUCCAUAGGUUAAUGAGGCGAACCGGGGGAACUGAAACAUCUAAGUACCCCGAGGAAAAGAAAUCAACCGAGAUUCCCCCAGUAGCGGCGAGCGAACGGGGAGGAGCCCAGAGCCUGAAUCAGUGUGUGUGUUAGUGGAAGCGUCUGGAAAGGCGCGCGAUACAGGGUGACAGCCCCGUACACAAAAAUGCACAUGCUGUGAGCUCGAUGAGUAGGGCGGGACACGUGGUAUCCUGUCUGAAUAUGGGGGGACCAUCCUCCAAGGCUAAAUACUCCUGACUGACCGAUAGUGAACCAGUACCGUGAGGGAAAGGCGAAAAGAACCCCGGCGAGGGGAGUGAAAAAGAACCUGAAACCGUGUACGUACAAGCAGUGGGAGCACAGAGCAAUCUGUGUGACUGCGUACCUUUUGUAUAAUGGGUCAGCGACUUAUAUUCUGUAGCAAGGUUAACCGAAUAGGGGAGCCGAAGGGAAACCGAGUCUUAACCGGGCGUUAAGUUGCAGGGUAUAGACCCGAAACCCGGUGAUCUAGCCAUGGGCAGGUUGAAGGUUGGGUAACACUAACUGGAGGACCGAACCGACUAAUGUUGAAAAAUUAGCGGAUGACUUGUGGCUGGGGGUGAAAGGCCAAUCAAACCGGGAGAUAGCUGGUUCUCCCCGAAAGCUAUUUAGGUAGCGCCUCGUGAAUUCAUCUCCGGGGGUAGAGCACUGUUUCGGCAAGGGGGUCAUCCCGACUUACCAACCCGAUGCAAACUGCGAAUACCGGAGAAUGUUAUCACGGGAGACACACGGCGGGUGCUAACGUCCGUCGUGAAGAGGGAAACAACCCAGACCGCCAGCUAAGGUCCCAAAGUCAUGGUUAAGUGGGAAACGAUGUGGGAAGGCCCAGACAGCCAGGAUGUUGGCUUAGAAGCAGCCAUCAUUUAAAGAAAGCGUAAUAGCUCACUGGUCGAGUCGGCCUGCGCGGAAGAUGUAACGGGGCUAAACCAUGCACCGAAGCUGCGGCAGCGACACUGUGUGUUGUUGGGUAGGGGAGCGUUCUGUAAGCCUGUGAAGGUGUGCUGUGAGGCAUGCUGGAGGUAUCAGAAGUGCGAAUGCUGACAUAAGUAACGAUAAAGCGGGUGAAAAGCCCGCUCGCCGGAAGACCAAGGGUUCCUGUCCAACGUUAAUCGGGGCAGGGUGAGUCGACCCCUAAGGCGAGGCCGAAAGGCGUAGUCGAUGGGAAACAGGUUAAUAUUCCUGUACUUGGUGUUACUGCGAAGGGGGGACGGAGAAGGCUAUGUUGGCCGGGCGACGGUUGUCCCGGUUUAAGCGUGUAGGCUGGUUUUCCAGGCAAAUCCGGAAAAUCAAGGCUGAGGCGUGAUGACGAGGCACUACGGUGCUGAAGCAACAAAUGCCCUGCUUCCAGGAAAAGCCUCUAAGCAUCAGGUAACAUCAAAUCGUACCCCAAACCGACACAGGUGGUCAGGUAGAGAAUACCAAGGCGCUUGAGAGAACUCGGGUGAAGGAACUAGGCAAAAUGGUGCCGUAACUUCGGGAGAAGGCACGCUGAUAUGUAGGUGAAGUCCCUCGCGGAUGGAGCUGAAAUCAGUCGAAGAUACCAGCUGGCUGCAACUGUUUAUUAAAAACACAGCACUGUGCAAACACGAAAGUGGACGUAUACGGUGUGACGCCUGCCCGGUGCCGGAAGGUUAAUUGAUGGGGUCAGCGCAAGCGAAGCUCUUGAUCGAAGCCCCGGUAAACGGCGGCCGUAACUAUAACGGUCCUAAGGUAGCGAAAUUCCUUGUCGGGUAAGUUCCGACCUGCACGAAUGGCGUAAUGAUGGCCAGGCUGUCUCCACCCGAGACUCAGUGAAAUUGAACUCGCUGUGAAGAUGCAGUGUACCCGCGGCAAGACGGAAAGACCCCGUGAACCUUUACUAUAGCUUGACACUGAACAUUGAGCCUUGAUGUGUAGGAUAGGUGGGAGGCUUUGAAGUGUGGACGCCAGUCUGCAUGGAGCCGACCUUGAAAUACCACCCUUUAAUGUUUGAUGUUCUAACGUGGACCCGUGAUCCGGGUUGCGGACAGUGUCUGGUGGGUAGUUUGACUGGGGCGGUCUCCUCCUAAAGAGUAACGGAGGAGCACGAAGGUUGGCUAAUCCUGGUCGGACAUCAGGAGGUUAGUGCAAUGGCAUAAGCCAGCUUGACUGCGAGCGUGACGGCGCGAGCAGGUGCGAAAGCAGGUCAUAGUGAUCCGGUGGUUCUGAAUGGAAGGGCCAUCGCUCAACGGAUAAAAGGUACUCCGGGGAUAACAGGCUGAUACCGCCCAAGAGUUCAUAUCGACGGCGGUGUUUGGCACCUCGAUGUCGGCUCAUCACAUCCUGGGGCUGAAGUAGGUCCCAAGGGUAUGGCUGUUCGCCAUUUAAAGUGGUACGCGAGCUGGGUUUAGAACGUCGUGAGACAGUUCGGUCCCUAUCUGCCGUGGGCGCUGGAGAACUGAGGGGGGCUGCUCCUAGUACGAGAGGACCGGAGUGGACGCAUCACUGGUGUUCGGGUUGUCAUGCCAAUGGCACUGCCCGGUAGCUAAAUGCGGAAGAGAUAAGUGCUGAAAGCAUCUAAGCACGAAACUUGCCCCGAGAUGAGUUCUCCCUGACCCUUUAAGGGUCCUGAAGGAACGUUGAAGACGACGACGUUGAUAGGCCGGGCGUGUAAGCGCAGCGAUGCGUUGAGCUAACCGGUACUAAUGAACCGUGAGGCUUAACCUU